rnacentral:misc_RNA from 1 species
GACGAAUCGUGCUAACGUUGUUCGGAAUCAUUGGGCUUAAAGGGCGCGUAGGCGGUCGACCAAGUCAGGGGUGAAAUCCCUCGGCUCAACCGAGGAAGAGCCCUCGAUACUGGUUCGGCUUGAGGUAGGAAGGGGCACGUGGAACGUCCGGUGGAGCGGUGAAAUGCGUUGAUACCGGAAGGAACGCCGAUGGCGAAAGCGACGUGCUGGGCCUUACCUGACGCUGAGGCGCGAAAGCUAGGGGAGCAAACGGG